rnacentral:misc_RNA from 1 species
UCCCUGUUACCAGGGCAGUCUGAAUAGAAAAAUUCAACUAUUCACAAGGGUUGCGCUCGUUGAUGGACUUAACCAAACAUCUCACGACACGAGCUGACGACGGCCAUGCAACACCUGUCACUUGGCUCCCGAAGGCACUCUCUCCUUUCGGAGAAAUUCCAAGGAUGUCAAACCUGGGUAAGGUUCUUCGCUUACCAUCGAAUUAAAGAACACACUCCACCGCUUGUGCGGGUCCCCGUCAAUUCCUUUAUGUUUUAGUCUUGCGACCGUACUCCACAGGCGGGAUGCUUAACGCGUUAGCUUCGCUACAAGACGGGUCGAUACGUCUUACAGCUAGCAUCCAUCGUUUACGGCGUGGACUAA